rnacentral:tRNA from 1 species
CAGGCAGAAGCUCAGUGGUAGAGCUCCCGCCUUGUAUGCGGGAAGACCUGGGUUCGAUCCCCGGUUGUAUAC